GUCUUUGUAGUAUAAUAAAUACCCCGGUCUUGUAAACCGAAAAAGGAGAAACCUACUCCUCCCUAAGACU